GAUGAACGCUGGCGGCAUGCCUUACACAUGCAAGUCGAACGGUAACAGGUCUUCGGAUGCUGACGAGUGGCGAACGGGUGAGUAAUACAUCGGAACGUGCCUAGUAGUGGGGGAUAACUACUCGAAAGAGUGGCUAAUACCGCAUGAGAUCUACGGAUGAAAGCAGGGGAUCGCAAGACCUUGUGCUACUAGAGCGGCCGAUGGCAGAUUAGGUAGUUGGUGGGAUAAAAGCUUACCAAGCCGACGAUCUGUAGCUGGUCUGAGAGGACGAUCAGCCACACUGGGACUGAGAGACGGCCCAGACUCCUACGGGAGGCAGCAGUGGGGAAUGUUGGACAAGGGGCGCAAGCCUGAUCCAGCAAUGCCGCGUGCAGGAUGAAGGCCUUCGGGUUGUAAACUGCUUUUGUACGGAACGAAAAGCCCUGGGUUAAUACCCUGGGGUCAUGACGGUACCGUAAGAAUAAGCACCGGCUAACUACGUGCCAGCAGCCGCCGUAAAAC
rnacentral:rRNA from 1 species